rnacentral:rRNA from 1 species
AAGACCUUGCGCUUUUGGAGCGGCCGAUGCCUGAUUAGCUAGUUGGUGGGGUAAUGGCCUACCAAAGCUUCGAUCAGUAGCUGGUCUGAGAGGACGGCCAGCCACACUGGGACUGAGACACGGCCCAGACUCCUACGGGAGGCAGCAGUGGGGAAUUUUGGACAAUGGGCGCAAGCCUGAUCCAGCCAUGCCGCGUGAGUGAAGAAGGCCUUCGGGUUGUAAAGCUCUUUCAGCCGGGAAGAAAAGGUUGCGAUUAAUAAUCGCAAUUUAUGACGGUACCGGAAGAAGAAGCACCGGCUAACUACGUGCCAGCAGCCGCAGUAAUACGUAGGGUGCGAGCGUUAAUCGGAAUUACUGGGCGUAAAGGGUGCGCAGGCGGUUUUGUAAGUCAGAUGUGAAAUCCCCGGGCUUAACCUGGGAACU